AAAAAAGAAAUAAAAAUUCGCAAACUUUCUAUUUACCACACGAGCAAAUAUAGGGACAAGUACACAACCAGGACUUUCGGAGAACCAACCAAAAAGCCAAGAGCAGGUUAUCUCAGACAGGACCCUAGUCAUCGAAUAACAGCAAACAAUUAGGAUAAAGGAGGAAGCAAAUGACAUCUAAAGGAAGAAAUGGCCCUGAUUUUCCGGCCCUCAGCAAUUGCCAAGCUCAAGCUCUUGCAAAUACGACAAAAAAACACAAUAAUAAUGCACAUCUAGCCCGCAAAAUAUGAAUAAUUUCAAGUACCAAAGUAGUCGCCCUGUCAGCAAAUCAUCUCUGUUUUUUGCUCUAAGCAGUCGUCCAAUAGACUGAGUAGGAACAAGAAUGGUGAAAGAGAUGGUGUAUGAGUCCCAUAUAAUAGAUAAACAGAACCUGAAAUACCUUGUAUCUCUGGAGCCAUCCAACAACUCCAACCCGUUCGAACAUGAUAUUCAUCAGAUCCUUACAAUACUACAGCAAAAGCAGCAAACACUCAAUAACACAAACGAACAAAUGAAUAAGACAUUUAUAGCUUCAUAAUUGCUCCUCUAAAUGCUCUGAAUCAUGAAAAGCGAACACAAUUAAUUCGUCAGUUGAUCCUAAAUGAUCACAUAAUUAGAGUACAUGAGAAACCCAAUCUUGAAUUCCAGCCUCUGCAUCAUAUUUCAUAAAUCCAUCAUUAAGUAAUCACUUGACACUGGUAAAACGAGGUGAAUUGAGCAGUAUAACCUGGAGUAACAACGGAAUAAAGAGCAGAGGAAAUAUAUCCUAAGAAGCCACAGAAGAUGACUAAAGAUCAGAAGAAACUAUCAUGUCGCCACAGUGCUUGCAAACAGUAUAUGAUAGCUCUGAUCAGGUAGUGCCAUUUGUUGCCACAACAAAUCCUACCGCAACCAAAUAGAAGGAUUUCAACAAACACAAGAAGUGGAAAAAAUCAUCUCACUGAUCACAUAUUGCUUCUCUGAAUCAAACCAAUUGAUCAAAUCACAUUAUCUGAACAAAAUGAAAUAAUCAAAGGAAAAGAAACCCCCUUCAAAACAAUACCAAUGCGGACGCCUGCUUUAACAUCAUCUCUUUUGAGUUGAAUUACUUGGAAAACAAGGGCAGCCUUCUCAAAAAUUGGAACCUAGAGAAACCAUCAAGAAUCAAAAACCAUGAUUAGAUUAAGCAUCAAAAUUAGAAAUCACUGUCACACUGCACAAUAAUAUUUUCAUCAUGUUUCAAACCACCAUGUAAUAUAGAAACCCCCUUCAUAAGAACUUCCGGCCUCUAAAUCAUGCCUCUGAUGUCCAACAUCAGAAUAUGGAAACCAAAAUAACACCGACUUAGAAUCAUGAACAUUCUCCGAAACAUAGAAACUGCUUCCAUGAUGAUUUCACACUGAAAAUAUUAUUAAUACAAAUACUGAAAACUCGUAACCCCAGCACCAGUGCUUCAACCGAAUACAAGAAAAUCAUGAAGUAAAUCUGAACUCGGACUGACAGAUUGCUGAUACUCAAAAAUCCAAUCAGAAUACACCACAGCUAAUUCCUGCAGAUUAACGAUGGAGCACCCCCAAUACCAGAAGAAAGAAACCUGAACCACUUGGAUUCUUUUUUAGGAAAAAAAGGAAACUAAAUCACAAGAGACCAGAUUCAAUCGUCAAAUCCUCAAAUAAGAACAAACAGCUCAUAAUUCUGCGAACCCUAAAAACCAAGUCGCAAAAAAUUCCUUAAUUACCGCAAAUCUUCAACUUGAAUUUCAGCCUCUGAAUCAUGCCUAUCUUGUCCAACACCGUAAGAUGGAAUCUAAAGUAACAUUGAAUUGGCAUCAGGAACAUCUUUUUUAAAACAUCCCGACACCACUAAUCAGGCUGCAAAAUAAUGCUUGUGUGAUGCUUUCAAACCUCGGUACAAAGAAUAAAGAUUGACAGAUUCUAAAUUAAGAUUGCAAAUGGAACUUAGGAACACAAAGGUAUAUAAAUAAGAACUAUGAUAUUAGAAACAAACCCUUCCAGAACGGUAAAUUUGUAAUUUACAGCACAAACCCUGCAACAGAACAAAUAAUAAAUUAACUCCACAGUUUGAACAGCUAGUGCAGGAGAAAUAUUAACUCCACUAUCAAAGAUGACAAACCCACUUAAUCAUUUCAUUCCUCCAAAUUAUUUUUCAUUAUCAGAUCAAUAGUACCUUUGAGCAAGAAUGCCCCAAAUGCACAAGCUCUUCUGCAACGCUAAUGAGGUUGAAGAACCCCCUACAUAAAAAAGAAACAUACCUUCUCUCAUCCACCCAAAAAUGUCUCGAGCGCUCAAGGAAGUCAAACAAAUGGGAGAAGCUCACCAGGUCACUAAUGCAACAGGGAUGAAUGAGAUCGUGGAAAAUAGAUGAAACUAAGAAACUUGAUACAGCAUAUCAGCAGCAAAACCACUUACCAACAUAGUAUGUGUUAUUUCCAACAUGCUUGACUCCUAAAGAAUUUGUGAAAGCAAGUAAGCACCAUCAUGGAAAACCCUUUCUUAAUCCCAGUUAAUCAUACUUUCAGUGCU